UGGGGAAUCUUGCACAAUGGGGGAAACCCUGAUGCAGCGACGCCGCGUGAGCGAUGAAGCCCUUCGGGGUGUAAAGCUCUUUCGGCAGGGAAGAUUAUGACGGUACCUGCAGAAGCAGCUGCGGCUAACUACGUGCCAGCAGCCGCGGUAAUACGUAGGCAGCAAGCGUUGUUCGGAGUUACUGGGCGUAAAGGGUGUGUAGGCGGCCUGUUAAGUUCCGUGUGAAAUCUCCCGGCUCAACCGGGAGGGUGCGCGGAAAACUGGCGGGCUAGAGUGCGGGAUGGGAGAGUAGAAUUCCUGGUGUAGCGGUGAAAUGCGUAGAUAUCAGGAGGAAUACCGGUGGUGUAGACGGCUC
rnacentral:rRNA from 1 species